UAUCUCUGCUUCGCCCGGUUUGGCACUAGCACAUUUUUGCUUUUGUAUAACUACUUUGAGCAAUUAUGUGUAGUGCCAAUCUGGGAGAAGACGGAAGU
rnacentral:ncRNA from 2 species